CAGUGGCUCAGUAGCUAAGAUUCUGAGCUUGUUUGAAAGAUCGGCAGUUCGGCACUUCAAAUUCCUAGUGCUGCAUAAUGGGGAGAAAGCUGGAACCCUAUAGAACAGGGGUGUCAAACUGGCGGCCCAUGGGCCGGAUUCAUGGCGCGCCUCCCACGCCCACCCCUGCUCUGCAAAUGGGGAAAGUGUUGCGAAACGUCACGUGAUGGCAACAUGACACAGCAAGUUUGAUAACUGUGGUAUAGAAAAUGUAAUUUUCUUAAGAAUGUAAUUUAUUUUGUUAUACUAAAUAAAAUAGAAAUAAUAGAAAUACA